GACGAACGCUGGCGGCGUGCUUAACACAUGCAAGUCGAACGAAGAGCGAUGGAAGCUUGCUUCUAUCAAUCUUAGUGGCGAACGGGUGAGUAACGCGUAAUCAACCUGCCCUUCAGAGGGGGACAACAGUUGGAAACGACUGCUAAUACCGCAUACGAUCUGACCUCGGCAUCGAGGAUAGAUGAAAGGUGGCCUCUAUUUAUAAGCUAUCACUGAAGGAGGGGAUUGCGUCUGAUUAGCUAGUUGGAGGGGUAACGGCCCACCAAGGCGAUGAUCAGUAGCCGGUCUGAGAGGAUGAACGGCCACAUUGGGACUGAGACACGGCCCAGACUCCUACGGGAGGCAGCAGUGGGGAAUCUUCCGCAAUGGACGAAAGUCCGACGGAGCAACGCCGCGUGAGUGAUGACGGCCUUCGGGUUGUAAAGCUCUGUUAAUCGGGACGAAAGGCCUUCUUGCGAAUAGUUAGAAGGAUUGACGGUACCGGAAUAGAAAGCCACGGCUAACUACGUGCCAGCAGCCGCGGUAAUACGUAGGUGGCAAGCGUUGUCCGGGAUUAUUGGGCGUAAAGCGCGCGCAGGCGGAUUGGUCAGUCUGUCUUAAAAGUUCGGGGCUUAACCCCGUGAUGGGAUGGAAACUGCCAAUCUAGAGUAUCGGAGAGGAAAGUGGAAUUCCUAGUGUAGCGGUGAAAUGCGUAGAUAUUAGGAAGAACACCAGUGGCGAAGGCGACUUUCUGGACGAAAACUGACGCUGAGGCGCGAAAGCCCAGGGAGCGAACGGGAUUAGAUACCCCGGUAUCCUGGCCGUAAACGAUGGGUACUAGGUGUAGGAGGUAUCGACCC
rnacentral:rRNA from 1 species